UACAGAGGUCCCAAGCGUUGUUCGGAUUCACUGGGCGUAAAGGGUGCGUAGGCGGUCGGAUAAGUCUGAUGUGAAAUCUUCGAGCUCAACUCGGAAACUGCAUCGGAAACUAUUCGGCUGGAGGAUUGGAGGGGAGACUGGAAUUCUCGGUGUAGCAGUGAAAUGCGUAGAUAUCGAGAGGAACACCAGUGGCGAAGGCGAGUCUCUGGACAAUUCCUGACGCUGAGGCACGAAAGCUAGGGGAGCAAACGGG
rnacentral:rRNA from 1 species